GCGUUUACUCAUUGAAGCCUUGUCCAUGUCUCCGAUGUUUGAAGGCACAGAUGAAAGCAGAAAUUUAGCUAUGAAUAGUACAGCCAUGAGGGAGGACAAGUACUUUUUGGCUGGAAGGGCAAUUGCUGUUAGCCUCGUCCAUGGAGGUCCAGCUCCACGGUUCCUUUCUCCAGUCCUUUUCGCUAGCUUGGUUGGAGGUCCAAAUGCAGCUUGUCCUACUUUAAAAGAUGUAACUGAUGCAGACCUCCAUGAAAAACUGAAAAAGGUAUCUGAAAGUUCCACUCUGGAGGAGCUUCUGAGAGCCACAGAUCCUCUUUUAGACUACAUGACCAAUGCAGGAUGUGUCAGACCCUUAACAACCAUCAGUGAUCGAGAUCUUCUCCUGCAUGACCUGCUGAUGUUUCAUGUUGUUCACAGGGUUCUAGGCCCCUUUCAAAGAUGUAGUUUGUUUUUAAUAUUUCUUUAAAUGCAUGAUACAAAAACGUCUUUGCUCAGUUUAUCAAUCAGAGACUGGGAGUAAAUGUUUAUUUGCUUAUUUAUUUUUGUACAAGUUUGAAGAAGGACUAAAAACACUUGGAGUUUUAGAUGCUGUUAAGCAACAUCCAGACAGUUUUCGCUCUUUGUUCUGCCAUGAGCCACAGCGAUUAACUGCUGACAUGAUGGAUGACCUUUUCACCCCUCGGCUUGCUCCCAAAGGAAUUAACCGAAGAAGAGCAGAAGAUGCAGUUAUUCCUUUGUGGAGAGAUUAUCUGCAAGAUGCAGAAGAUGAGGAAGGAUCAUCAAAGCUUCAAAACCUCCUUGUAUUUGCAACUGGAGCAAAUGAGAUACCACCAGUCGGCUUUUCUCCAGCACCAUCCAUCGAGUUUAACCAUGAGGACAGUGAAGAAAGCUCCUCAAAACGAAUGUUCCCCAUGGCCAACACAUGUAUAAACUGUUUGAAACUCCCGCUCAUAACUUCUUAUGAGGCUUUUAAGGAAAGCAUGGACUUUGCUUUAGGGAACACCCAGGGAUUUGGAAGAACAUAAACACUUUUUUGCUUGAAUUACAUUUCUCACAGUAUAUAGUUAUGUUGCUUUAAAGUUUAGACAUUUAUUUGCAAAACCUAAAGCUGGUCCAGGUUAGCAAAGUAAUUUUGUUCAGAAGUUAUAUAAUGGAACACUGGGCACUAGCAGGGACGAGAGAAUGGUCAACAUAAAAAAUAAGUUAUUUUAAGUUUAAUUCAAACACAUUCUAGGUUUCACCUGGUAUGUUGUAAUCUUUGUUACUUUUUUUUUCCUUUUCAAAAUUUGAUAAAUUCUCAUCUUUGUUUUAUUGCCACCUGCAGGGCAUUAUAUACAGUCCGGCAUGUUAGUUGGAGUGAGCUUUUUUUCUUUUACCAUUCUAAUUUUCAAAGGUUUAGAAUUACCUCACAACAUCCAGUUUAUUUUCAUACCAUAAAUUUCCCAGUUGGAAGUUUUAC